GGGCUAGUCAAGGUUUCGACAGGGGUCUUGCAGCUGGAGAAGCUAUCCGCAGGUGGUGCGUCAAACCACAAACCUAAAUAUAAACGCUGAAGAUAAUUUAGCAUACGCUGCCUAAGGGCGGCUGUCUGACUUAAGGCACUCACACUUUAAGACCCAGGCAUCGACUAUGUGAGAAACGAUGCAGGUUAAGCUUUGCCCCUGCAGGCGUAUCAUGAAGCUACCGGACUUUUCAGAGUGUCUGCUCUCUGAAUUGCGAGGGAACAGUACGGAGUAAGACCGUACACAAUGAACAGACUAUGAUAGUAGAAGGACAGGGAAUGGGCUUUUGGACACGGGUUCGACUCCCGUCUAGUCCACUC
rnacentral:sRNA from 1 species